GUUAGGAAUAUUGGACAAUGGGCGAAAGCCUGAUCCAGCCAUGCCGCGUGUGUGAUGAAGGCCUUCGGGUUGUAAAACACUUUUAGGUGUGAAGAUAAUGACGGUAACACCAGAAAAAGCUCCGGCUAACUUCGUGCCAGCAGCCGCGGUAAUACGAAGGGAGCGAGCGUUGUUCGGAAUCACUGGGCGUAAAGCGUGCGUAGGCGGUUUUGUAAGUAAGAAGUGAAAGCCUGGGGCUCAACCUCAGAAUUGCUUUUUAGACUGCAGAGCUAGAGUACUGGAGAGGCUAAUGGAAUUCCGAGUGUAGAGGUGAAAUUCGCAGAUAUUCGGAGGAACACCAGUGGCGAAGGCGAUUAGCUGGACAGUUACUGACGCUGAGGCACGAAAGCGUGGGGAUCAAACAGG
rnacentral:rRNA from 1 species